UACGUAGGGGGCAAGCGUUGUCCGGACUUAUUGGGCGUAAAGAGCGUGUAGGCGGCCAGGUAGGUCAGCUGUGAAAACUCGAGGCUCAACCUCGAGACGUCGGUUGAAACCACCUGGCUAGAGUCCGGAAGAGGAGAGUGGAAUUCCUGGUGUAGCGGUGAAAUGCGCAGAUAUCAGGAAGAACACCCGUGGCGAAGGCGGCUCUCUGGGACGGUACUGACGCUGAGACGCGAAAGCGUGGGGAGCGAACAGG
rnacentral:rRNA from 1 species